AUGUCCUCCAGGUCUUCCUUUCCUCUGCCAUCCCUCGGAGUCCAUUUAAGCUCAUGCCAACUGCUUCUGUGACUCCAUCCAGGCCACCACAUUCUCUGUCGUCCCCUUCUUUUUCUUUUGCCCACAAUC